rnacentral:misc_RNA from 1 species
GAUUCUCUCUUAAAAAUCCUAUCUUUUUUCUUGUAUAGGCCAUAAAGAUUCAACCCCAACAACAAUAAUCAGAAGAAGGAGAAGAGUAAGCCAUUUUUCUGUUCUUUCUCUUUUUCCCCUUCUUUUCGUUUUUCAAUUAAAAAAUAAGAGACUAUUUCUUCUACGAGGAGAUUUUGGAGCUGCAGAGAUCUCAUAUAGAACAAAAAACUGAAAAAAGGGCUUGUGCUGCCUCAAAAUCUCUAU